rnacentral:rRNA from 1 species
AAACUAACUAGGAUUCCCUUAGUAACGGCGAGUGAACCGGGAUGAGCUCAAAUUUGAAAUCUGGCGUCUUUCAGGCGUCCGAGUUGUAAUCUAUAGAGGCGUUUUCCGCGCCGGACCGCGUCCAAGUCUCUUGGAAUAGAGUAUCAAAGAGGGUGACAAUCCCGUACUUGACGCGACAACCGGUGCUCUGUGAUACGUUCUCAAUGAGUCGAGUUGUUUGGGAAUGCAGCUCUAAAUGGGUGGUAAAUUCCAUCUAAGGCUAAAUAUUGGCGAGAGACCGAUAGCGAACAAGUACCGUGAGGGAAAGAUGAAAAGCACUUUGGAAAGAGAGUUAAACAGCACGUGAAAUUGUUAAAAGGGAAACGAUUGAAGUCAGUCGUGUGGGAAGUAUUCAGCCGUCUCUGGCGGUGUAUUUGCUUCUCACGGGUCAACAUCAGUUUGAUCCGGUAGAAAAAGGCGGGAAGAAGGUGGCACCCUCGGGUGUGUUAUAGCUUCCUGUCAUAUGUGCCGGACCAGACUGAGGAACGCAGCUUGCAGCAAUGCCGGGGUUCGCCCACGUACAAGCUUAGGAUGUUGACAUAAUGGCUUUAAACGAC